rnacentral:lncRNA from 1 species
GCUACGGGGUUUCCCGCCUAAACUAUUUAUUAUUCAAAUGAUAAAUAAAAGUGGGGUAAAAAUUAGAAGAUUAGCAAAAAUAUCAUUGUGAAUAAUAGAAUGGGCAAAGUGGUUUGCAUUAAUAGUUAGAUUCUAGAGCUUUUUUUGUAACAAGAAAAAGCUUAUGAGUAUAUUUUCUUCCUCAUAUUUGGUUAUUUUGUAGUAAAGAAGUCAACUUUAGCUUAAUAAUAUUCACCCAGUUUAGUUAGAUGAAGUACAUUGGAACGAAAAUAGGAGAAACCAUUGAAACCUAAUACAAACAGUAGUCUGUACCUAAUUUAACUACGAUUUAAGCUUAGAUCCGAAUGGAUGAAUAGAAACUAGGGAAUUAAAUCCAAAGUAGUGAUAAGUGAAAAAGGCGUACAGAUUUCUGUACAAGUGAUGGAAGUAGGUAAGAUACAAGAGAAAUGAAAAGGUAAGAAAAAUCUAAGAUUUGGACCUUCCAAAUUCAAAGAGGAUGUUCUAACCUCAUGGAAGAUAAUAAUGAUGUUUAUUUUCAUAGAUACUAAAAAUUGGAUAAAAAA